rnacentral:rRNA from 1 species
UACAGAGGGGGCAAGCGUUGCUCGGAAUUACUGGGCGUAAAGGGCGCGUAGGCGGGAUGGCAAGUCGGUCGUGAAAUCCCUCGGCUCAACUGAGGAUCGUCGAUCGAUACUGCCGUUCUUGAGGGAUGCAGAGGAGAUUGGAAUUCCCGGUGUAGCGGUGAAAUGUGUAGAGAUCGGGAGGAACACCGGUGGCGAAGGCGGGUCUCUGGGCAUCUCCUGACGCUGAGGCGCGAAAGCGUGGGGAGCAAACGGG